rnacentral:snoRNA from 1 species
AUCCCAUGAUGAGGACACUUACGCAGUAACUCCUUGAAUUACUCCCAAGCCUCAUACAAUGACUCGUCAUCCAAUUGUUGGAAGGUUGUGAUCUCAUUCCUCAACUU